GCCUAGUUAGCUUGGAGGGUAGUGCGUCUGCCUUGUAAGCGCUAGGUCGCGGGUUCGAUUCCCGCCCGGGGCG
rnacentral:tRNA from 1 species